rnacentral:rRNA from 1 species
GGGAGGCAGCAGUGGGGAAUUUUGGACAAUGGGCGAAAGCCUGAUCCAGCCAUUCCGCGUGAGUGAAGAAGGCCUUCGGGUUGUAAAGCUCUUUCGGCAGGAACGAAACGGUGAGGUCUAAUACACCUUACUAAUGACGGUACCUGAAGAAGAAGCACCGGCUAACUACGUGCCAGCAGCCGCGGUAAUACGUAGGGUGCGAGCGUUAAUCGGAAUUACUGGGCGUAAAGCGUGCGCAGGCGGUUUCGUAAGUCAGAUGUGAAAGCCCCGGGCUUAACCUGGGAAUUGCGUUUGAAACUGCGAGGCUAGAGUGUGUCAGAGGGGGGUAGAAUUCCACGUGUAGCAGUGAAAUGCGUAGAGAUGUGGAGGAAUACCGAUGGCGAAGGCAGCCCCCUGGGAUAACACUGACGCUCAUGCACGAAAGCGUGGGGAGCAAACAGGAUUAGAUACCCUGGU